AACCACAAAGUAACUUUGAUUAAAGGAGGAAACUGGUCUACUUGUUGAAAAUGUGGUAAUGAGAUAGUUUCCACCCAGCCGGGAAGCGUGGCCCGGAGGGGGAGGGGAGCCUGCAUUUCUUCAUGCCUCUACCCAUCCUGAAGAAGGUAGAAAGGAACAGGCCUGGCUCGACCUCCACUUUGGAGAAGAUGCUCCAGGAACACUGAAGGGCAGGUCGUCUCCCACCUUCUAUGAGGAUUGCCCAGCUCAAGUAUUGUUUGGAGCCAGGUAGAGUGAAGUCCUACAGAGUUAUCAGGUUCCAGACCCUGCCUUCUCUUCUGAAAGGGUUUGGAAAUCCCUUGUCUCCAGGUUGCUGGGAUUGACUUCUUGCUCAAUUGAAACACUCAUUCAAUGGAGACAAAGAGAACUAAUGCUUUGUGCUGAUUCAUAUUUGAAUCGAGGCAUUGGGAAGCCUGUAUGCCUUGUUUGUGGAAAUAACCAGUGACACCAUCACUGAGCUUCCUAAAAGUUCGAAGAAGUUAGAGGACUAUACACUUUCUUUUGAACUUUUAUAAUAAAUAUUUGCUCU
rnacentral:sRNA from 1 species